GCCAGGAUGAAGGUGCGGUAACACGCACUGGAGGUCCGAACCCACUAACGUUGAAAAGUUAGGGGAUGAGCUGUGGAUAGGGGUGAAAGGCUAAACAAAUCCGGAAAUAGCUGGUUCUCUCCGAAAACUAUUUAGGUAGUGCCUCACGUAUCACCUUCGGGGGUAGAGCACUGUUUAGGCUAGGGGGUCAUCGCGACUUACCAAACCUAUGCAAACUCCGAAUACCGAAGAGUGCGAGCGUGGGAGACAGACAUCGGGUGCUAACGUCCGGUGUCGAGAGGGAAACAACCCAGACCGCCGAUUAAGGUCCCCAAGACAUAGUUAAGUGGGAAACGAGGUGGGAAGGCUCAGACAGCCAGGAGGUUGGCUUAGAAGCAGCCAUCCUUUAAAGAAAGCGUAAUAGCUCACUGGUCGAGUCGUCCUGCGCGGAAGAUGUAACGGGGCUCAAACUAUGCACCGAAAUCGCGGAUAUGGACUUUGUCCAUAUGGUAGGAGAGCGUUCUGUAGGCCGUUGAAGGUGGCUUGUAAAGGCUGCUGGAAGUAUCAGAAGUGCGAAUGCUGACAUGAGUAGCGAUAAAGCGGGUGAAAAGCCCGCUCGCCGAAAGCCCAAGGUUUCCUGCGCAACGUUCAUCGGCGCAGGGUGAGUCGGCCCCUAAGGCGAGGCUGAAAAGCGUAGUCGAUGGGAAACAGGUUAAUAUUCCUGUACCUCUUUGUAAUGCGAUGGGGGGACGGAGAAGGUUAGGUCAGCCGGGUGUUGAACGUCCCGGUUUAAGCGUGUAGGGAGAUCUUCUAGGCAAAUCCGGAAGGUCAAUCCUGAGGCGUGACGACG
rnacentral:rRNA from 1 species